UGAGAUGUGCUGGGGUCUACAAAGCCCACACUGGGCACCCAGGGGUGAAGGAGCUGCUCUGGGCCAGCCAGCCAGCCCUGCCACACCUGCGAGAGAUGCACAGACUGGAGGAGGAGCUAAAAGGGAGCAGACCCGCUCACUGGGGGGCAGGCCAGGGCUGAGAGCCGACCCACAACUCGCAGCUCCUGAGGAAUGGGCUGAGAGCAGGGACUGCCCCAGCAGGGGAGAGACUUGGCGGCCCUGACCUGGCCGCAGGGCCAAGGCCCGGGAGCAGGCAGCUGCCGCCCUGAGAGAGAGAACGGCCACACCUGGCCAUGAGGAGGCGCCCAGUGCAACCUGCAGCCAGCCCAGGAUCCAGAGCUGGAAUCUCACCACCUGUGGGCCAACAUGCACAGCGUGUUCACCAUGGGCAUGGACAAGGACCCUCCGAGGAGCAGGAGCAGCCUCUGGGCCCCACUCCCUCUGCUCUUGGAGCUGCUGAGAUAGGGGAUGAGGCUCUGCCUCAUGCCUAGCUGAGACUCUGGAUAGAACGCUGAGGAGCCUGCUGCAGCGACCCCAACACGGACCAGCUGCAGCACGUCUCGGAGCAUGUCGACUUCUGGAUCCAGUCCGGAGCCAGGGGAGAGCCAGGGCCAUGAGGAGCAGCACCGCCCUGCUGCGAUUCCCCACCUGCCUCCUGGGAUUUGACGCUUCUUCAGAGGCCCCAUCAGUUCUCUCCUUUCAAUCAGUGGAAAGUGCCUGCACAAUUUUCAAGGUACCAGUGGAAAAUCUGAAUGGUUGUCCUCGGAAGAAGAGCGCUGGGUGGCUCGAAUGCUUGUCUCAACAGAAGUUGGUCUCACAAAAGACGUUACCUCUCCCCUCUCUAACAGAGGAAAAUACAGUCCACUGAUCCAGCCCCCAGCCAGCGUGCUGUCCUAAAGCAGCCAUGCUGUACGUGCCGUGAUUUAUUUAGUCUGGUUCUUGGUGUUUUGCUCCAAUGAUUGGAAACACUCCUUGGAGAAUCCAAUUUUCUGCCUACUUUAUUUUGUCACCAUUAGUGCAAGGAUCAAAGCCCUCCUGUUUGACCAAUAGGGCACCAUAGCAAUGGAAAUGUCUGCUACCACCACUUGCUGAAAACAUACUCGGACAUUGCACAGGGGAUUCUGCUCUUUCCAUUUUCCCAGUGGUUUGAAAAACUAGUUUAAAUUUACAGAGCAGGAGUUUGUUAGCAGUGGCUGAGAACUGUGAAGUCACUGUUCUUCCCCAUGUUGGUGUGAUUCUUAUUUACUCUUGCAGCUCUAGCCAGCACUGAAGUCAAACAGUACAAAUCAGUCAGCUCGCUCAACUGCCUGAAUGUUCAGAACCUUUUUACAAAGCAGCCGAGUGACCUACUCAGCAGAACCUUCUAUUUAGGUGGCUUGUUUGCAUAAGACAUCUCUAAGAAAUACCCCACAGUCCAGACCUCUGUUAACGUCCCACAAUCUUACAACCCCUGCCAGCUGAGCAGCUUGGUAUCUCUCACAUGCAUUAAUCAAGUGUGGUGAGACUCAGUUAUUAUAGACAAGGAAACUGAGGCACAGAAAGGCUAAGGGACUUGCUUGUAAGUCUAGGUUCCUAAUUCAUAGUCACAUGCCCUGGCCGCCUCCCAGGAAGGGUGGGUAAAUAGGGCUAACACGUAAUUAAUGCUCCUACCAGCAUAGCAUUUUCUUUUUAGGGUAAUUUCAAUUUGAAGAGUCAAAAAGAAUGAAGGGAAGACUGCUGACAAUAUCAGGUCUAGAGUGGGAAACAUCUCAUUAGCAACAAUUAUUCAGAUAGGAUCAGGGUUUGUACUCUAAGUCUGGUUUGCACCCCUCCAGUGCAACCAAAGCAACUGGUGUCCAGGGGAAUUCCCAGGUGCCAUAUGAUUGGUGAUGCAGCUCCUAGGCCAUCCCUCUCCACUAAGCACAGGGGGCAUGGCCAGGCAAAAGGGAUUGUGUCUGUUCUGCUGAUGCUGUAAUGGCCCCGGGGGGCCAUUGGCCGCUCUGUGGCAGGUGAAGCAUCCCUGAGCACGUCUCAGUCAGUCCAGCAAAUCUGGAUCAGACUUUUCCCCCCACUAGUAUAAUAUGCAAUUGAACUAUUUUUGGAAGGGACCAUUCACUUGCUGUUCUAACCUGUUUAGUCUUGCAAUGCCCCGCUCACCAGUUUGUGCAUUUCAACCCUGAUGUGGCUGUAUAGGAUUGUAUUUAGGUGCUGGUUUUACUAGGAAUUUAUUAUAGCUGCAUGUGGUACUAAGAGGUCUCUACGUAUUAAUUGCAUUGAUUCUCUUUCCCAGUUCAUGCAAAUCGACAGAACAAUUACCCCAGAGCGCACCUGUUCUGCUGACUUGGUACUUUAUCAGUCACACAGUACCUGCAGGGGGCACGAUGAACGUAUAAUACCUUCAAUUCUUAUGGUCUAGGAACACUAUUAUAAACAUUGUAGAUAGAGACAGAUGUUACCACUGAAAGGGUUGUAAUGGUCCCUCAGCUGGGUUUUUGGUACUUCAUGGACAGUGCCUAACCCGAGGCUGGAAGGAUUGACAGAACUGCUAUUUUGGAGGGUCUGAUGCCCCACACAUCAGUGAUCCAUCACCAUGCAUUUCCCAGCUCACCAUUUGUGACAACUGCCUGCCACGGUCAGCAGCAAGGACUGACCCAGAGCCCUCUCACCUAAAAAGGGUCACACAUGAACUGCUACUGCUUGAGCUAAAUCAGUAAAUCUAGCUGGAGCCUGUAGCAGACUCAAAGGCCUUGUGUGGAACCAGCCACUUGAGGGAGACAAAACCCAAACGACAGGUUUCAGAGUAACAGCCGUGUUAGUCUGUAUUCGCAAAAAGAAAAGGAGUACUUGUGGCACCUUAGAGACUGACCAAUUUAUUUGAGCAUGAGCUUUCGGCUGUAGCUCACGAAAGCUCGUGCUCAAAUAAAUUGGUUAGUCUCUAUGGCGCCACAAGUACUCCUUUUCUUUUUGCGAAAACCCAAACUGAGUUAAUGAGGGGGACACACACGUAUCUUACCCUCAGAAACUGACUGAUAAAUACCUUUUAGCGGGGCUGCACACACAUAGAUCCUGCUGCAGGAUUGGGGCCUUCAUUAGCAAUCAAAAGGGCUGAAAAAUAAUAGAACCAAAAAUUCCCAAAGAUGUCAAAAAUAUGAUGAUGGGAACACUGAAUGCUAAUUUACUUUUUUCUAAAGAACUGAACUUAAAAAUAAACCCCACAAUCACUUGGUUAGAGCUGCUGCUUUAAUUUGAAUCCGAAUGUAGGACAGUACCUUUCCUACAUGCAUGUCCUUAGCAAGGAACUAUAGAAAGAUAUCUUCAUUUCCAUAAAACAUAGGGCAUUUUGUAAAAUCAAAUUAUGGAACAUUUAAAAUGUAUAAAGUGAUAACCUCACUCUGCAUUCUUUAUAUCCAAAUACAAAAUUUAGAAUUUGAAACACUAUUUCUAAACAUCCCAGAAAUUAUAUAUACACAUAUUUAAUAUGGAAAUCAAGGCCAUCCAGAUAAUAUCAUACUGGCAAACUUAAAGUGACUCCCUAAUUUAAUUUAAUUUAAUUUUUUACUGUUCAAUAUUCAUUAGUCCAGAAUUAAAGUUUAUCACUGACCCAUUGCUGAGCUAUGGGGAAAUUUAAAUUGUGGCCAACUCUUCUGAGCUGAGUUUGCUUGCUUGCACCAUGAAUUCAGUAGCACAUUUGGAAUGUUAGGGUAUGUCUACAUUGUGGAGA